ACGAGGACAGAAGACGAGGGGCAAAUCUGCAAUUUGAGCUUUGAAUACAGAGAGAUUCAUCAAGUUCUUCGCGGACGACACAGCUUUCGUGGCUGUGGUGUUAGUUUUCUUGCCAGAACCGUAAAAUCCAAUCAAAAGUGAACUGUCCAAAGUGAGCAAAUGUUUGGGAUUCGGCAUUUCUGGAUACUCUGGAUACUGGAAUAACUUGUAAUUGGGAGCUAGAUGUAUAUAUACAUAUAUACAAGUGAAGGUUAAAGAGUCAUGGGUAAGGACUCAAAGGCAAAGGAGUUAGGAAGAAGGGAAAGGGAAAGCAGGCAGUGGAAGGAAGUGAUGAUACUGCUUCAAAAGGUAACGGAAAAGGUGCGCAGACAGAUGGGCUUGGCACCUGCACAUGUGUCAAAUGUUGUUUCUUCCCCUUAAUCUGUUUUUCAGGAGCUUCUAUUUUAUUUUAACUGCAAUUUAUCUAGUUUGUUGAGUCUCCUAAUGUGACUCUAGGUUUUGGAUUUUAUUUUAGCAAGGCAUAUCUUAUGUGAGAAGCAAGGGAAGAUUAAUGAAGCAUACAAGAAGCUAGAAGAUGUCUGACUUAGUAAUGGAGAUAAGCUAGCAGCAGAAUAUUCAGAGCAUCCAUCAGGGAAGAAGGGUGGAGACUUGGGAUGGUUUCUGCGUGGCAAGAUGGCUGGCCUAUUUCAGGAUGUUGCCUUUAGCAUGCUUGUUGGAGCUACCAGUGCACCAUUUAAAUCAACGCAUGGAUACCACAUUAUCUUGUCUGAAGGGAGGAAGAAUUGAUAGAACUUGGCAUUCAAAGUUGGGCUCUCUCAGAUUAUUAACCAUGAAAUCAAAGUACAAGUGACAUGUCACCUCCAAGGACUUAGCUUGGGAGGUUUAGGGGCUGAAGGCUUCUUUUUUGUUAUCAUUUAGUAUUUAAAUGUAAAUUCAAGCCGAUGGUUUUAUAUGUCAAAGAGUUAGGACUCUUCUUUUGUUGAAACCAAGUAACAACUUGGAAAGAUGUAAGCCCGUAGGGCACUCAUUCUGUUGUUAACAUUAAGGAAUUACAUAUAAUAUCUUUUGUAAUAUAAAUUCUGAUGAAUGAAAUACAACUUUUCUAUUA